AAAAAAUCCCUUUCCGACCAGGGGGUCAAACAGAGGUGGAACUCACUGAAAACCAAUUUUGACUUCAGCUUUACUAAGUAAUUUACGACAAUGCCAGCCAGAGAUAAAAAUCUUCCAGAAAAGGAAAGCAGGCAGGGCACAAAGGAGAACAGAAGGAAGACCUUACUUUACAAAGCUUUAACUUGACAGAGUGGUUUCUUACCUGGUAGCUCAUGGGCUUCAUCCCAGUCCUCCAAGAUAGCAAGGUUAACAAUUGGACCCACUGGUUGAAAUUCAGAAAUACGUCAUUCACAAAGGAGUCCAGAUGUUGAACAUGUUAUUUGACAGUGUAACUAAUGUACCACAUGAACAGCAGCUUGCUCUGUGUUUCCAGUCUGUGAACAUCCUCUGGAAAGCUUGGAACCAAAUCUGACGUUCAGAUCCAGUCAGGGAUUAUUUUGUGGAAAAGAACGGGACCCACCCACGCUAACGGAACUAA